rnacentral:rRNA from 1 species
ACGGGUGAGUAACACGUGGGUAACCUGCCCAUCAGAAGGGGAUAACACUUGGAAACAGGUGCUAAUACCGUAUAACACUAUUUUCCGCAUGGAAGAAAGUUGAAAGGCGCUUUUGCGUCACUGAUGGAUGGACCCGCGGUGCAUUAGCUAGUUGGUGAGGUAACGGCUCACCAAGGCAACGAUGCAUAGCCGACCUGAGAGGGUGAUCGGCCACACUGGGACUGAGACACGGCCCAGACUCCUACGGGAGGCAGCAGUAGGGAAUCUUCGGCAAUGGACGAAAGUCUGACCGAGCAACGCCGCGUGAGUGAAGAAGGUUUUCGGAUCGUAAAACUCUGUUGUUAGAGAAGAACAAGGAUGAGAGUAAAAUGUUCAUCCCUUGACGGUAUCUAACCAGAGAGCCACGGCUAACUACGUGCCAGCAGCCGCGGUAAUACGUAGGUGGCAAGCGUUGUCCGGAUUUAUUGGGCGUAAAGCGAGCGCAGGCGGUUUCUUAAGUCUGAUGUGAAAGCCCCCGGCUCAACCGGGGAGGGUCAUUGGAAACUGGGAGACUUGAGUGCAGAAGAGGAGAGUGGAAUUCCAUGUGUAGCGGUGAAAUGCGUAGAUAUAUGGAGGAACACCAGUGGCGAAGGCGGCUCUCUGGUCUGUAACUGACGCUGAGGCUCGAAAGCGUGGGGAGCGAACAGGAUUAGAUACCCUGGUAGUCCACGCCGUAAACGAUGAGUGCUAAGUGUUGGAGGGUUUCCGCCCUUCAGUGCUGCAGCAAACGCAUUAAGCACUCCGCCUGGGGAGUACGACCGCAAGGUUGAAACUCAAAGGAAUUGACGGGGGCCCGCACAAGCGGUGGAGCAUGUGGUUUAAUUCGAAGCAACGCGAAGAACCUUACCAGGUCUUGACAUCCUUUGACCACUCUAGAGAUAGAGCUUCCCCUUCGGGGGCAAAGUGACAGGUGGUGCAUGGUUGUCCUCCACCUCGG